CUCAAUAUUUGCGCGCAUGAUGAUAUGAUUGCAUCCUGAUUUGAUCCACUCGUGGCUUUUUGCACCAUCUGCGUGCAAUGUGUCCGUGCGAGCGGCAACGCAUUUGUUCUGUUGCCUUAAGCGUUCAUGGUCAAUUGUCGGCCCGUUUAUCCCAGCACAACUACCAAAAGGCGAGUGUUCGCUAAAAGUACUGAUAGUACCCACUCUUACGGAUCGUACCUGCCCUUUCUCCGCUCAUCAGACGUCGUUAAAAUGACGGAAUUUGCGUCUGGAUGACGUCACUCUGGCAAGACGACCCACAUUUGAAAAUUAAGGAUGUAACAGCUAUAUGUGUAUGUUGAUCAGCCUCGACAAAGGAUUGGAUCAUCGUCUGACUUCGGCAAUGGGAUGUUAACGUUCGUCGAUCAAUAAAAAAUUUCUGCUUUGAUCAAUGUAAUUUUAGGCACACAUUUUAGGCUAAUUUGUGCCGGUUGUUGCUUGUUUGGCCUUCUUUUUCAGUCCGACGUAAAUGCGUAAGAAACAAUAGCCGAUAUGGCAGAGACUUAUUUCUCAAAUAUUAUUAUUAUUAAGCUAGUAUCUUCAUUAACUAACGUUUGAUUAACGUUAGUAUUUUCUUCAUCAACCCAAAAUUUCUUUUUUUUUAAUAAGACUCGAGGCCCGUAUUUUUCCUUUCUUCUAAAAGGUAGCCUAUUUAUAUUGCAGAAAAGGGAACAUCGGUACUUCCGUAAUGUAGUACUCCAAAUUGGCUAUUUGUGCCUUGCCUGCAAAUCACUUAAAGUUACUACCGUUUAGGGAAACCCGGAAGUUCUUAAUGCGCUCGA